rnacentral:ncRNA from 1 species
GUGAUUAUAAGUUUGAUACAACAAUACAUACAGUGCAGCAACCACCUCUGUAACAACUUUUCAAAUUUACUAACAAAUAAUAAUAACAAACUGAUAAACUACAAGAGUAAAGAUAAACUUCUACGGGAGGCAGCAGUAGGGAAUUUUCUACAAUGGACGAAAUCCUGACGGAGCAAUGCCGCGUGAAGGUAGAAGGCCUACGGGUCAUGAACUUCUUUUCCAGGAGAAGAAGCAAUGACGAUAUAAGGGGAAUAAGCAUCGACUAACUCUGUGCCAGCAGCCGCGGUAAGACAGAGGAUGCAAGUGUUAUCUAGAAUGAUUGGGCGUAAAGCGUCUGUGUGUGGCUUUUUAAGUUUGUUGUCAAAUCUCAGGGCUCAACCUUGGAUAGGCAGUGGAAACUACCAAGCUGGAGUACGGUAGGGGCAGAGGGAAUUUCCGGUGUGGAGUAGGGAAAUGCGUAGAGAUCGAACAGAACAUCAACGGCAAAAACACUCUGCUGGACUGACACGGAGAGACGAAAGCUAGGGGAGCGAAUGGGAUUAGAUACCCCAUUAGUCUUAGCCGUAAACAAUGGAUACGACCGUGCAAUGCUGUAGCUAACUGUAACUCACACACAAAACUAAGGGAGAUGAACAUACAUUUU